UACGUAGGGUGCGAGCGUUAAUCGGAAUUACUGGGCGUAAAGCGUGCGCAGGUGGUUUGUUAAGUCAGAUGUGAAAGCCCCGAGCUUAACUUGGGAACUGCGUUUGAAACUGGCAAGCUAGAGUCUGUCAGAGGGGGGUAGAAUUCCACGUGUAGCAGUGAAGUGCGUAGAGAUGUGGAGGAAUACCAAUGGCGAAGGCAGCCCCCUGGGAUAAGACUGACGCUCAUGCACGAAAGCGUGGGGAGCAAACAGGAUUAGAUACCCUGGUAGUCCACGCCCUAAACGAUGUCAACUGGUUGUUGGGCAACUUGAUUGUUCAGUAACGAAGCUAACGCGAGAAGUUGACCGCCUGGGGAGUACGGUCGCAAGAUUAAAACUCAAAGGAAUUGACGGGGACCCGCACAAGCGGUGGAUGAUGUGGAUUAAUUCGAUGCAACGCGAAAAACCUUACCUACCCUUGACAUGUACGGAAGUCUGCUGAGAGGUGGAUGUGCCUGAAAGGGAACCGUAACACAGGUGCUGCAUGGCUGUCGUCAGCUCGUGUCGUGAGAUGUUGGGUUAAGUCCCGCAACGAGCGCAACCCUUGCUAUUAAUUGCCAUCAUUAAGUUGGGCACUUUAAUAGGACUGCUGGUGAUAAACCGGAGGAAGGUGGGGAUGACGUCAAGUCCUCAUGGCCCUUAUGGGUAGGGCUUCACACGUCAUACAAUGGCCGGUACAGAGGGAUGCCAACCCGCGAGGGGGAGCCAAUCUCAGAAAGCCGGUCGUAGUCCGGAUUGUUCUCUGCAACUCGAGAGCAUGAAGUCGGAAUCGCUAGUAAUCGCGGAUCAGCAUGUCGCGGUGAAUACGUUCCCGGGUCU
rnacentral:rRNA from 1 species